rnacentral:rRNA from 1 species
UCGCGAAAACUUCACAAUGGGGGAAACCCCGAUGAGGGAAUUCCAAGUGCUAGCACUAUGUGUUAGCUGUUCUUUUGUCUAAAAAACAGGAGAAGUAAGGGCCGGGUAAGACGGGUGCCAGCCGCCGCGGUAAUACCCGCGGCCCGAGUGGUGGUCGAUAUUAUUGAGCCUAAAACGUCCGUAGCCGGUCUUGUAAAUCCUUGGGUAAAUCGGCCAGCUUAACUGUCCGAAGUCCGGGGAGACUGCAAGACUUGGGAUCGGGAGAGGUCAGAGGUACUUCUGGGGUAGGGGUAAAAUCCUGUAAUCCUGGAAGGACCACCGGUGGCGAAGGCGUCUGACUAGAACGAAUUCGACGGUGAGGGACGAAGCCCUGGGGCGCAAACGGG